rnacentral:sRNA from 1 species
GGGGGCGGCCGCUGGGCCCGCGUGCUCCAGGGCCACGUGGAACAGUGCGAGUGCUUGGGGGGCCGGACCUGGUGCGAAGGCACCCGACAUACAGCUUGUCUGAGCAGCCCUUGCCUGAACGGGGGCACCUGCCACCUGAUCGUGGCCACCGGGACCACCGUGUGUGCCUGCCCACCAGGCUUCACUGGACGGCUCUGCAACAUCGAGCCUGAUGAGCGCUGCUUCUUGGGGAACGGCACUGGGUACCGUGGCGUGGCCAGCACCUCAGCCUCGGGCCUCAGCUGCCUGGCCUGGAACUCCGAUCUGCUCUACCAGGAGCUGCACGUGGACUCAGUGGGCGCCGCGGCCCUGCUGGGCCUGGGCCCCCAUGCCUACUGCCGGAAUCCGGACAAUGACGAGAGGCCCUGGUGCUACGUGGUGAAGGACAGCGCGCUCUCCUGGGAGUACUGCCGCCUGGAGGCCUGCGGUGCGCGGCUGGCGGGGGGUGCUGCCUUGGGCCCCAUCGAGGUCACAGCAGUUUUCCCCGUGAUCCUCCUAGCCCCUCCGCACACCUGGCUACUGCAUCUCUGACAAACGGGGAAACUGGAGCUCACGGGAUCAGGCUGGUCCAAGGUCACGCAGUGGGUCGGUACUGGGGUCACAGUGGGGAAGCAGCCCGCUGCAGGGGGCUGGUCACCAGGCGACGGCCUCGGGGUGGCACCUGCCCAGCCUGGACCAUGCCCAGGAUGGCCCCAGAAGCCUUUCAGGGAGGUGCAGGGAGGACAGCGUGCAGGCUCCCCACAGGCACCCCUGGCAUCAGACCCUGGGCGGGCAGGCCCCCCAGAGGCCACCUGCUUCCUGCCCUGGGGAGAGGCCCCCGGGCUCCCUAGGACCCCGGCGGGGCCAGCCCGGGGCUCUCAUGCGGGGGUCUCUGACUGUGCUGGGGCUGGCUGUGGGGUUCCGGGCUGCUGAGGGGGCCACAGAGGCCUCCGUGUGUCCAGCCCCUCUGGCCCUCACAGAGCCUUGGGAUUGGGCAUCAAACCCCAUUCUACAGAUUUGGAAACUGAGGGCAGAGAAUACCUCACCAGAGUCCAACUGUCAGCGGAUCUCCUGGCGACCCUGCCUGAGCCAGCCUCCCCGGGGCGCCAGGCCUGCGGCAGGAGGCACAAGAAGAGGACGUUCCUGCGGCCACGUAUCAUCGGCGGCUCCUCCUCGCUGCCCGGCUCGCACCCCUGGCUGGCCGCCAUCUACAUCGGGGACGGCUUCUGCGCCGGGAGCCUGGUCCACACCUGCUGGGUGGUGUCGGCCGCCCACUGCUUCUCCCACAGCCCCCCCAGGGACAGUGUCUCCGUGGUGCUGGGCCAGCACUUCUUCAACCGCACAACGGACGUGACGCAGACCUUUGGCAUCGAGAAGUACAUCCCGUACACCCUGUACUCGGUGUUCAACCCCAGCGACCACGACCUCGUCCUGAUCCGGCUGAAGAAGAAAGGGGACCGCUGUGCCACACGCUCGCAGUUCGUGCAGCCCAUCUGCCUGCCCGAGCCCGGCAGCACCUUCCCUGCAGGACACAAGUGCCAGAUUGCGGGCUGGGGCCACUUGGACGAGAACGUGAGCGGCUACUCCAGCUCCCUGCGGGAGGCCCUGGUCCCCCUGGUCGCCGACCACAAGUGCAGCAGCCCUGAGGUCUACGGCGCCGACAUCAGCCCCAACAUGCUCUGUGCCGGCUACUUCGACUGCAAGUCCGACGCCUGCCAGGGGGACUCAGGGGGGCCCCUGGCCUGCGAGAAGAACGGCGUGGCUUACCUCUACGGCAUCAUCAGCUGGGGUGACGGCUGCGGGCGGCUCCACAAGCCGGGGGUCUACACCCGCGUGGCCAACUAUGUGGACUGGAUCAACGACCGGAUACGGCCUCCCAGGCGGCUUGUGGCUCCCUCCUGACCCUCCAGCGGGACAC